rnacentral:rRNA from 1 species
AUUGAACGCUGGCGGCGGGCUUAACACAUGCAAGUCGAGCGGGGUGAUGGUGCUUGCACUAUCACUUAGCGGCGGACGGGUGAGUAAUGCUUAGGAAUCUGCCUAUUAGUGGGGGACAACAUCUCGAAAGGGAUGCUAAUACUGCAUACGUCCUACGGGAGAAAGCAGGGGAUCUUCGGACCUUGCGCUAAUAGAUGAGCCUAAGUCGGAUUAGCUAGUUGGUGGGGUAAAGGCCUACCAAGGCGACGAUCUGUAGCGGGUCUGAGAGGAUGAUCCGCCACACUGGGACUGAGACACGGCCCAGACUCCUGCGGGAGGCAGCAGUGGGGAAUAUUGGACAAUGGGGGGAACCCUGAUCCAGCCAUGCCGCGUGUGUGAAGAAGGCCUUAUGGUUGUAAAGCACUUUAAGCGAGGAGGAGGCUACUCUAGUUAAUACCUAGGGAUAGUGGACGUUACUCGCAGAAUAAGCACCGGCUAACUCUGUGCCAGCCGCCGCAGUAA